UCCCUGGUGGCUUAGACGGUAAAGAAGCGUCUGCCUGCAACACGGGAGACCCAGGUUCAAUCCCUGGGUGGGGAA
rnacentral:tRNA from 1 species